rnacentral:rRNA from 1 species
CCUACGGGAGGCAGCAGUGGGGAAUUUUGGACAAUGGGCGAAAGCCUGAUCCAGCAAUGCCGCGUGAGUGAAGAAGGCCUUCGGGUUGUAAAGCUCUUUUGUCAGGGAAGAAACGGUGAGAGCUAAUAUCUCUUGCUAAUGACGGUACCUGAAGAAUAAGCACCGGCUAACUACGUGCCAGCAGCCGCGGUAAUACGUAGGGUGCAAGCGUUAAUCGGAAUUACUGGGCGUAAAGCGUGCGCAGGCGGUUUUGUAAGUCUGAUGUGAAAUCCCCGGGCUCAACCUGGGAAUUGCAUUGGAGACUGCAAGGCUAGAAUCUGGCAGAGGGGGGUAGAAUUCCACGUGUAGCAGUGAAAUGCGUAGAUAUGUGGAGGAACACCGAUGGCGAAGGCAGCCCCCUGGGUCAAGAUUGACGCUCAUGCACGAAAGCGUGGGGAGCAAACAGGAUUAGAUACCCUGGUAGUCCACGCCCUAAACGAUGUCUACUAGUUGUCGGGUCUUAAUUGACUUGGUAACGCAGCUAACGCGUGAAGUAGACCGCCUGGGGAUACGGUCGCAAGNUUAAAACCUNAAAUGAAUUGACGGNNGAGACGAGCGAGGACGACGACGAGGGAGGAGG